rnacentral:rRNA from 1 species
GAUGAACGCUAGCGGCAGGCUUAACACAUGCAAGUCGAGGGGUAGAGGUUGCUUGCAACCUUGAGACCGGCGCACGGGUGCGUAACGCGUAUGCAACCUACCUUUUACAGAGGGAUAGCCCAGAGAAAUUUGGAUUAAUACCUCAUAGUAUAUAACCUUCGCAUGUUGGUUAUAUUAAAGUUCCAACGGUAAAAGAUGGGCAUGCGUCCUAUUAGCUAGAUGGUAAGGUAACGGCUUACCAUGGCAACGAUAGGUAGGGGUCCUGAGAGGGGGAUCCCCCACACUGGUACUGGGACACGGACCAGACUCCUGUGGGAGGCAGGAGUGAGGAAUAUUGGACAAUGGGCGCAAGCCUGAUCCAGCCAUGCCGCGUGCAGGAAGAAGGCCUUCGGGUUGUAAAGCACUUUCAGCGAGGAGGAAACCCGGGUACGUGUACCCGGUUGAUAGUACUGUAAGAAUAAGGAUCGGCUAACUUCGUGCCAGCCGCCGCCGUAAAAC